rnacentral:tRNA from 2 species
GCAGGCGUAGCUCAUCAGGAUAGAGCGACUUCCUCCUAAGAAGUAGGCAGGCGGUUCGAGUCCGCCCGCUUGUACCA